rnacentral:rRNA from 1 species
UACGUAGGCGGAAGAUUAAGUCAGUGGUGAAAUCCUGCAGCUUAACUGUAGAACUGUCAUUGAUACUGGUUUUCUUGAAUUUAGUUGAGGUAGGCGGAAUGUGUAAUGUAGCGGUGAAAUGCUUAGAUAUUACACAGAACACCGAUUGCGAAGGCAGCUUACUAAACUAUGAUUGACGCUGAGGUACGAAAGCGUGGGGAGCGAACAGGAUUAGAUACCCUGGUAGUC